AAGGAAAACAAUGGUAAGCUGUAAGCAAGCAUGUGUGAAUGCUGGGGUAUUAGAGAGCGGAUGUGCGCAACGAGUGCAUUCCUGCUGCAGCUCCUACACGUGCACACAGCCCUCAUCCCUCACUCUCCAUACACUUGACUCGGGCCUUCCUGAAAACAAAACCCUGCCGAAACCAUGGGUAGGAACACUUGUGUCCUGCUGGUGGUGGUGUCAGUGACUGUUGUUCUUUCUUCGGCUCUCCAUCAAGCCAACGAGGACGACACUGAAGCCGAGCACUUCCUGAGACAAAAUCGAGAGGCCCAUCGCAGUGAUGUUACUACAUUCACUCGCAAUGGUGUAAACGACAACAGCGGCACCGGCAGUGCGUGGCGCAGAGCCUCGUUCUUCAGUGGCUCGGGAUACAGUGGGCGGCGAUAAAAGGUAGCUCUCUGGAGAUGCUGUUUAAAUGUUUGCUCUCUAAAAUUAUUCUUGUUCGAGAGUUGACCUGUCGCUUAUGCUCAAUAAAGAAAAUUCACGUGAA